AUGUGUAUGCAUCUCAAAUUCUUUCCAUUUGCAUCCCAUAUUUUUCUAGUUAAUACAAACACCGAACUAAAAUACAUUUGGAAAGGCCUAGGGAGAUCUCAGGAGAAAUUCAAUGAUAUUAGCAAAAAGUUAUACAUAGAGGAGGCACCUAUUUGUCACAUGCAAUUUUUAUUACAUCCAGUCCUUCAUCCAGUGCAGCAAGAGGGAUCCAUAUCCAUAAUUGACGUUGUAAUGAACUGCGGUUUCUUUAACAAAAAUAGCCUGAGAAUUGGACAAAUAUACUUUUGUGUACAACAGAAAGAGUGA
rnacentral:rRNA from 1 species